UGGGGAAUAUUGCACAAUGGGGGAAACCCUGAUGCAGCGACGCCGCGUGAGUGAAGAAGUAUUUCGGUAUGUAAAGCUCUAUCAGCAGGGAAGAAAAUGACGGUACCUGACUAAGAAGCUCCGGCUAAAUACGUGCCAGCAGCCGCGGUAAUACGUAUGGAGCAAGCGUUAUCCGGAUUUACUGGGUGUAAAGGGAGCGUAGACGGUUAAGCAAGUCUGAAGUGAAAGCCCGGGGCCCAACCCCGGAACUGCUUUGGAAACUGUUGAACUAGAGUGCAGGAGAGGUAAGUGGAAUUCCUAGUGUAGCGGUGAAAUGCGUAGAUAUUAGGAGGAACACCAGUGGCGAAGGCGGCUUACUGGACUGUAACUGACGUUGAGGCUCGAAAGCGUGGGGAGCAAACAGG
rnacentral:rRNA from 2 species